rnacentral:rRNA from 1 species
UACGGAGGGUGCAAGCGUUAAUCGGAAUUACUGGGCGUAAAGCGUGCGUAGGCGGUUCGUUAAGUCUGUUGUGAAAGCCCCGGGCUCAACCUGAGAAUGGCAAUGGAUACUGGCGAGCUAGAGUGUGUCAGAGGAUGGUGGAAUUCCCGGUGUAGCGGUGAAAUGCGUAGAGAUCGGGAGGAACAUCAGUGGCGAAGGCGGCCAUCUGGGACAACACUGACGCUGAGGCACGAAAGCGUGGGGAGCAAACAGG